AAAUGCUUAAGAAAUGUGAUAAAUUAAUGCAAGUCAAUUGCAGUCUAGUCAGUCAUUCAAUGUGCUAUUACUGUUAGGCUAUGUGCUGAGUUUCCUAACCUUUUCAUACUUGUCUUACAUGUCGGUUUAUUGUUGUGGUGUAUUUCAGAGGAAACUGAAGAGCUAACUAAGCAAUUGGUUGAUAAAGCUCCGACAAAUGUGGUGAACCUGAAUAAUUUGCCUCCAGCAAUUGGUCUGUCGAGCCAAGGGACGACUGUAUCAUCUUCUAAGCCAAAAUACAGGUCAGUAUGAGGGAAAAUCUCGUGCAAGCUAAUGUUUUGCUUAGUAUCAAUUGACAUCAUUAUAUUUUUCGUGGAUGGUACUUUACGCUGUGGGGAAUUAUUUUGUUAUAACUAGUUUCUGAAGUAGGUCGUGUAUGAGUUGUUAUUUUUUGCCUUUUAAAAGUUAUUACAUGCAUAAAUCCUUUUUAUUUGAUGAACCAGACCAAUUUCGUCGAACUUCUCUUACUCUAUUUUUUACUUGACGUGUAUUGCAGGCAUGAAUUUUAUCAGAAACCUGACGAAGUGGUGGUAACAGUUUUCGCAAAGGGCAUACCAGCAAACAACGUUGUGGUUGACUUUGGUGAACAAAUAGUAAGUAGUGCAUGAAUAUAUUGUUCUGAAUUUCACAUCGUUCUUUAGUGACUUGGGCUGAACCGAAACUCCUUUUUCUCUUUUAUUGAUAUUCAGCUUAGCGUUACCAUUGAAGUGCCUGGUGAAGAAGCAUAUCAUUUUCAGCCGCGGUUAUUUGGAAAGGUGAUGUCUAAAAUUAAAAUCCAUUUACUUUGAUUUGGGCACACAGUUCUUUUUGUAUACUUCUUUCCACUAGGAAAGUAAGAAUAUAUCCUGAAUGAGCUAUUUGUGAGUGUUGAAUCUUACUCAGCAAACCUCCUGUUCUUGGUUCUUGCGUAACCUGAUAAUGUGUAAAUACUUCGAAUUUAGUUAACUUUUAGCCAACCAGAAAAAGUGUUUAAUGUGUAAAUACUUCGAAUUUAGUUAACUUUUAGCCAACCAGAAAAAGUGUUAUUACCGGUACGAAAGCAUAAUAUAGGGCAAUAUUUUUUUUUUUUUUUUUUUUUUUUUUUUUAAUGUUUCUUUGCUUCGUAAUUAGCUAGUGCUAGUUGUUUCUUUGUCCACUAUUAGUGUUGCCGAUACAAAAGCGGGUCCUGGUGCAGAUAUUCUACAGUUCAUACUUUUCUUUUGAUAUUCCCGUUUCCGUUGCUUAUUCUGUGUAUUGAUGUUAUAUAUUGACAAACAGAUUGUUCCUGCAAAAUCUCGAUACACCGUCAUGUCUACAAAAAUUGAAAUCCGACUCGCCAAAGCAGACACUUUGCAAUGGGCAUCACUUGAAUUCAAGGCAGAUGUUGCUGUUGUACAGAAAGCGAUUGUAUCAUCAGGUAAGUCGUCUAUUAUAUGCCGAAUACCACCACAUUGAGAUUCGAGCUUAUUUCCCAAGAACUUCCAGUUUUGCUCGUGUUUUCUGAUUUUUUAAUUUUUGUUCAGCAGGCAACAAAAAACCCGCUUAUCCUUCAUCGAAACCGAAAAGAGUAGACUGGGAUAAAUUGGAAGCUCAAAUGAAAAAAGAGGUGUAUAUUUCAUCUCGUUUUCUCUUCUAUCAUUCUCUCCUUUCUGUCAUGUAUAUAUUCCUCGAUUGCAUAACUCUCUCUCUUUCUCUGCAUAUUUAGGAAAAGGAUGAGAAACUCGAUGGUGAUGCAGCUUUGAACAAGUUCUUUAAAGACAUAUACGGUGAUGCUGAUGAGGACACAAAACGAGCCAUGAGCAAGUCUUUCGUAAGAACCGUAAACUCUCUCCCUCUCUCUCUAACUCUCUCUAAUUCUCUCUCUCUCUCUGACAUUUAUGUGGUGGUACAGAUUGAAUCAAACGGAACCGUACUAUCGACAAACUGGAAAGAAGUUGGUGCAAAGAAGGUUGAAGGAAGCGCGCCAGACGGCAUGGAGUUGAAGAAAUGGGAGUACUGAUAGGACGUCUCUUGUCUUUUGAUCGAUCUCAGUCAUAUAUUUGCUUUUUUUUUUUUUUAAUUUUUUUUUUUUGGCACAAGUCAUUUUUUGUGCUGAGGUAUUUUGCCUUGGUUGUUUUUGAACUUGUUCAUACUUUUCUCUUUAGAUCAGAGCAAGUUGACUAUCUUUUAUCUGUUGACUUUUGAUACUCAAAAAUGUUUAUUUCAUUACAGCACUAUGGUUGGAGUGUUUUAUGUUUUUACUAAAUCAUAAUUAAAUAUGUUUUAUUAUUCGAAAAGAAUUCAUAAAAAAUAAGCAGCCAAUAUAACAAAUUCAAUCACGAAGGGAGAAAUCUCUAGCACUUGUUCUUGAUUAUGAUUGUCUUCAAACAUAUUAUAUUAUUUUAGUAUUACUUAAUAAUAUAUUACAUUCCAUGAAGGAUAAUUUAGUCACUUAGAUAGAAGAUUUUACUUGAAACACUUUCUUGAAUGUAAGGGUUUUUAAUUUGCGGCCAUCCUCCUGAAGUAAGAUUUUUUCUGAUAGAAAGAAAAAACCCUCAUGUUUGAGUAAUUACGACAAUUAUUUUUCUCAAGUAUGAAUCUUCUUACACGUCCAUCUAUGUGGUGUUAAAUUCAAUAAAAUCUUUUAGAUUCCGUGUAAUGUUCUAUAGUUUGUAUUCAGUUUUGUGCAAAAAUACAAUUUUUGAUGCACUACAACUUGAUAUGUUUUAAGCCAAGAGACAUAUAUUAUGAUUAUCUUGUUUCAAAAUGUGGAGUUCAAAUGGGGUAAAACGGUAAAAAACUAAAGAAUAUUCAACAUAAUCUAGAAAAUUCUACUAAAUUUGACACAACAAUAAUGAACGUGUAAAAUAUUCAUAGUUGAUGGUGGUUAUAAUUACCAAAACAUGAGGGGUUUUUCGUAAUUCGACCUUACCUCAUCAGUUGGCCGUAAAUUGGGGCAUUUUUUUUUUAUUUUUUUUUUCGAAUUUGAAUUGUUUUCGUAAUUUUUCCCCGAAAAUAAGAAAACAAAUUUAUUUUAAAUCAAAAUUAUUUGUUUAUUUAUUUUCUUUAUUGGGGUUAACAGUUGGGGGAAAACCCCGUCAAGAUCACUCGCCGAUCUUCAAAUUUCUGCUCAAAACAAAUCCGAAGUGAUUACUAAUCAGUGAAUUUCGAUCAUACUCCAACAAGAACAAUGCAAUUCUUCGGUGGCACAGAAAUCAGUCCAUCGCCGCCGGCGCCGACCGCAUCUGGGAACAAUGCCCACAUGCUAUACAUAUUCAACAGAAACGGCGUCGCUUUGCUUUACAGAGAAUGGAAUCGACCCCUCAAAACCCUCAGUCCACAGCAAGAUCACAAGCUAAUGUUUGGUCUCCUCUUCUCUCUCAAAUCCUUAACUGCUAAAAUGGAUCCCACCAGGUAUUCGACGUUAUGCCUCUUCGAAAAAUAUCAAAAUCAGCUCUACCAAAAAAAUAAAUAAAAAUUUGCUCUUUUGAUUGGUUAUUGAUGCGGGUUCCCGUUAUUAACUUUCACAAGCUAGUGAUUCUUUUUUUUUUUUUUUUUUUGGCAGUGCUGAUAAAGGGAAUCUUGGGGUGCCGCAGUUACCUGGGCAAGGAUGUUCUUUUCACAGUUUCAGAACCAAUACUUAUAAAUUGAGUUUCAUGGAGAGUCCAUCUGGGAUUAAGGUUAGCUGUGAUGAUUGGUUAGUUGUGAUGAUUGGUUUUAGUUGGGAUUAAGGUAAGUGGCCUUUUUCUUGAAUUAUGAAAUGCUUGAUUUGGAAACUUGUUACGGCACGAGAUGCAUUAAUGUGUAAAUUUUCUCUAAACUUGUUCCGAUUUUAUGAAUUUGAGUUUUCUGUAGUGAAAUCCCUUAGUUACAUGUCAAAAUGAUUCUCACUGUGAGAUGGGCUUUUUGUUUAAAACAUGAUUCCCCCAGUGCAAAUAGAAGUUUUGUCGCUGUCCUAAUCUUUUAUUACAACAGAAGGAAUCGGUGUUGCAGAAUUUUGCCUUUGAAAUGAAGUCAUUACAGUCGGGGUUGAUUGGGAAAUAAAACUAGGAUAAAGGAUUCAUGUGGAAGCAAAUUUCAUACUGGAGUUUGGUUCUAAGGUUAAUAGAUAAAAGCAGCAUAAACGAGUCCCUAUUGAUUAACUUUAUCAACUGAGUUAAAGAAACAUGAAAUACUACGGUUAUAAGUUGAUGAUGCCGAUGGACUAGGUAUCUUUUCAUUGCAGAACUUGAUGGUAUUAGUUCUGUGCUUUUUUCCAUAAUUUUAACGCACAAUUGGAUUUGUUAUUGAUCAAUCUUUCGAAGAAACAUGGUUACUUUCUUGAAAUACUAUUUCAUCCUUUGACUGAUUCAGAUUAAAAAGCUCUCUUAGGGUGUUUGGGUCGAGGAUAGUGUAGAAACAAGAUUCCUAGUUUGAAUAAUAAACGUUCAAGAGUUCUUAAUGAAUUGUAUUAGUAUGAAUUAAGGAUAAUCCAAAGUUAGUAUAAGGAAAUCAUAAUAUUAUGUUUAUCUGAGUGUACUACUCUUUCUAUCCAGUUCGGGUAUCAUGUAACCAACCAAAUUUCAUUGGCUAAAACACAAUCAGUUUUUACUUUUUAGUUUUUAACAUUCUCUCUUUUCAAUUUAUAAGUUUUUAACGUUCUUUCUUUUGAAUUUUCUGAGUAUCUGCAAUAAUAAGACCAUACAGGUUGGAAAAUCCUCUAAUAUAAUUCUGUGUUAUGAACCCUUAAUAAUUCAAUAAAGGUAAAUGAAUGUCAAUGUCUACAGUUCCUUAUGAUCCUUUCACCAUUCAUUAGUUACUUCUUUCGUUUACUCAUGUCCACAUUGUGUAAUAAAAAUAUCAUUUUGGCGUUUUUAAUAAACUUUUUUUUGUUAUGCAGCUUAUUCUCGUCACUCACCCAAAGACUGGUGAUCUGAGAGACUCUCUCAAGUACAUAUAUAACUUGUACGUUGAGUAUGUUGUCAAGAAUCCACUAUAUUCUCCUGGAACUCCCAUCAGGUGAGUCGUAAUUUUUUGGUUGAGUAUUUAUCUGCAGUUCUCUACAGUUACACACAUCACUAAAAAUUCUUUAAUAUUUUUUGGAUUUCGGGGAUUUUUGGGAUCGGGAUUGAAAUUUUACUUUCCGAAUUCUCUUUAUAUUUACUUAAAAUCUGGUCUUUCGGGAUCUCCGAGAAACCCCGGAAUUCUGGGAUAUGGAACGGGAAAUCCCGAAAUAUUAUUUUUCCGGCAAAACAAAAAAAAAACAGACUAACAUCAUCAGUCUUAACCAUAAUAUUAAAUGGCUAAUUUUCAUUUUGAUUAGCUUCAGAAUCUCAUUUCCCAAACAAAUCCACUCUACUAAUUUUCAUCAGCAUUCUCGCUAAGAUUUGUACUGAAUCCCUCUCGAAUCUCGAUACAUGUUCAGCACUAAACUAAUGUUUAGUGCAUUAAACUAUUGUUGUUAUUAGCUUUCUUAUUUAUAAUAUUAUUAGCAAUCUACAAUUAUUACCAUUGUUGUUUUGUUAAUCAAGAUAAUAGUACAUUACUACUAACUUUCUCACUAUUAUUACUAAAAAAAAAUAUACAUUUUUACUAAAAAUUGAAAUCAAGGGGAAAAAACACCGUGCAAGCUUUCUUAUCUCGACCUCUAAAAAGGGUUACAUUGUCUCGACUUCUGAGUAUGUAUAUUUUUAUAAUGCUUCGGAACUACGUAACUUAGUUGAUGCUAAGUCGGUUUUGUCUGAUGUUGUUUGUGCAGUUGUGAGCUAUUCAAUAAAACUGUUGAUCAGUAUGUGAGAGGCCUCGGCUAAUAUGGUACGUUUAUCGUCUCGAUUCUUGAUAUUAUAACUACAAUUUUGUAUUUUUUUUAGCAAUAUUCAAAUCCUUUACAAACUGGGGAAGCAUCGGUGCAGUAGGAUUAGAACCCUAGAUGUGAUAAUUAUGAAAAUAAAAUUUUCAAACUAAAAUUAAUUUUAAAAAAAUUAAAAAAAUCGUGACAUUGAUAUUACUAUAAUUUAGCAUAACUAGAAUUUGUAAUUAAUUAAUUAAAUCAAUUAAUUAAUUAAUUGUAUUAUUGCAUUCUCAUUCCCUUUUCAUAGUCCUUUUCCAAAUAGAACAAGGCAUUCUUUUUUUUUUUAUCUUCCUUAUUAAAAAAAAAAAAAAAAACUCUCUCUCUCUAUAUAUAAAUAUAUCUUGAUUUACUUCGCCCCUUCUCAAUACUCUCUGCUUUUCAAUUCCAACGUGUCUCCAGAAAGUUCCAAUCGUUACAUACAAAAGAAAAAUCACACACACAAACACACAAUCCGCAGUGUUUGAUUGAGUUGAAUCGAAACAAAUCAAUGGCGUCGUCUUCCGAUCUGGAAUCAAAGGCCAAAGAAGCUUUCGUAGAUGACCACUUCGAACUAGCCAUUGACCUCUACUCUCAAGCCAUUGCUCUGUGCCCUAGCAACGCUGACCUCUUCGUUGACCGCGCUCAGGCCAAUAUUAAACUCCAAAGCUUCACUGGUAUCAGAUUAAUUUUUGAUUUUCAUGUUGUGUAUUGAUUUUUUUUUUUUUUUUUUUAUGUACUGAAGUUUACUGUUAUUGUUGUAUUUGGAUAAUUUUGGUAUGUAGAGUGGGAGAAUUUUAUGGGCACAGGUAGAUUGUGCUAAACUUGUUUCGAAUUUCGAUCUUUAGUUUUCGGUUUUUUUUCGAUUUUAGGACCCUAAUCCUAUUGGCUCUGGUGGUUUUAGCCAAUUUUUUUGUUUUAAUCCAAGUUACUAUUGCUUUUGGAUAUACUUGUUGAUGGCAUUGUUAUUAGAAAACCAGUUUUAUGCUCUGCUUGAUUUAAAUGAGUGGAGUCUAUUGCGUGUAGUGCGGAUAUGUAGAUUUGGGAUCAUGGAGUUGGAAUUGAUAAAACUCUUAUCCGAAAAAUAUUUUCUAAUCUGAGUGUAUGGCUUGAAAAGAUUGAUAUGAAUUUUGUUUAUAAGUUAGUUUUAUUAUUGUUGGUGAACGGAUUCCGUUGAUGUUUGACGUGCAGAUGCUGUUUCUGAUGCAAAUAAAGCAAUCGAGUUGAACCCUGCAAAUACGAAAGCGUAUCUACGUAAAGGGUGAGUUUGUUUUCGAUUGAAUGAUUUUGUUAUGGUUUUUGAAAUAAAUUUAGUUUUUCUCGUACGGAAUAAGGAGAUGCCCCGUGUGCAUUAUGUCCUUUCUCUAAUUAAGUAUAGAAAUCUGAAUAGUUGAUUUAAAGCUUUUCAACAAAAAAGUUUUUUGCAUUUUGUUCGUCUGCUUUGAGACACGGAUUUUUUUAAGGUCUCGAUUAACUUUGUUUUGAUUGUUAGCUUUGACCCAGCAUUGGCUAAAGUAUACUUAAGAUAAUAUUCCAUUUUUAUUCUGAUGGCUCUUUGAAUGCAAAUUUCUUAGUUGUUUAUUUAUGUUCUCGUGACAGUGUGGCGUGUAUCAAUCUCGAAGAAUUCCAAACUGCUAAGACAGCCUUGGAAACUGGUGCUUCUUUGGCACCUGGAGACUCUAGGUUUACUAAUUUGAUCAAAGAAUGUGAAAAGCGCAUAGCAGGUAAUUUGAUUAUUUUCCGUGUUUAGGAUUUGUCGCUUCGAUGUGAUUUGCUGUCUUUUAUCCUCUGCCUUUUUAUACUCUCAACCUUGAUGACGAGCUUAGUUUGCUUGUCAUAAGCGUAAACUGAAAUUUUUAUUUUUAUCUAAUCUUUUUUCUUGGGAUUUUCAUCUUCAAUGUAUCGUCAGUUGCAUGAUUUGUUAUUUCCAUUUGAUUGUUGAAUUUUCUUCGGUAACACUUGCAGUAUCUGAAAUAUAGUUAUGCAAUAUGUCGGGUUCACACAUAACGACUGUGCAAUCAGCUAUAUCUAGAUUUUUGUGAAAUGCUUAAGAAAUGUGAUAAAUUAAUGCAAGUCAAUUGCAGUCUAGUCAGUCAUUCAAUGUGCUAUUACUGUUAGGCUAUGUGCUGAGUUUCCUAACCUUUUCAUACUUGUCUUACAUGUCGGUUUAUUGUUGUGGUGUAUUUCAGAGGAAACUGAAGAGCUAACUAAGCAAUUGGUUGAUAAAGCUCCGACAAAUGUGGUGAACCUGAAUAAUUUGCCUCCAGCAAUUGGUCUGUCGAGCCAAGGGACGACUGUAUCAUCUUCUAAGCCAAAAUACAG
rnacentral:lncRNA from 1 species